CAGGCUGGCCUCAAUCUUGGGAUCCUCCUGCCUCAGCCUCCCAUGUAACUGUGAACCACCACACCAGGCUCCUUUUUAGCUUAUUUUAAUCAGUCUUUGUUUCUAGCUGAUUCAGGGGUGCUGUGUUGCAGUCUCAUGAUGAGCUGAGUAGGACGCUGUGCAUGGCUUGCUGCCCGCGGGUGCAUAAACACCAGGCUAUCUCGUUCCACGCUCUGCGGUGAUGACGGUGGGGCUCUGCUGAGAGGCAUCCUGAACCCCUGCCCUGGGCAGACUCCUGCUGUGUGACGCUGGCUCAGGUACUUGGCCUUGCUCGGCCUCCGACUGGGGACGUACCAGUCCCUUUCCCGGAGCCAUUGCAGUCCCAGGGUUAAUUUGCACGGCUCUUGGGGACUGUCCCACACAAGAUUACACUUGAAUAUCAAAGGAGAAAUGGAGAUGUGGGCACAGGACCCGAAGUUUGCACGCAGACGUUUUCUGCCCAGAUCCGGCCUGGUCCGCAGGGUGUGGUCACCCGACCGGAAGUCAUCCUGCGAACCCCAGGCCUCGGCCGCUCCUUCCGCUCCGCUCGCCCUCCCUCGCGCACUGGAAAAGUUCGGCUGGAAUUCAGUGGGGAUGCGGCACUGCUGUGCUCCUGUGGAGGGAAGCUGGCCUCUGUGCCCACGAUGGCAUUCAGAUUCGCUGUGAGCCUCAGCCUGCAGCAAAAAAAAAAUGACCACAUUGAUCACCUGGAUAAUCUCUUAAGAUUAGAAAUUCGAAUUCCCAAAAGGGUACUGGAUACUGUUCCUCAGUGUGUUUUAGUAGAAAAUUUAAUUUUAUUAAAAAAUGAGACUAGAAUAUAACGACUAAUACUUUGGCCACCUACUUUUACUGUAUGCUGAUUCUCCAACAACAGCUACUAAAGGGAGAGGGGCUGUUGCCAUCAUAUUUGACUGAGGUUGCUGCUACAUACCCCUUCCCCAUCAGCAUGUGGGUGAGAAGGGUCUAGGCCCCUUGCCAAGGCCCUGGUUAAUCUGGGGCAGAGCUGGCGGAACCCAGCCUGGAGUCCCAAGGCUGCACUCACAAGCUGCCUCUCAGUGCUGCACAUCGCAGAAUGUGGAGCUUAACCAGAAUGUGGGAAGUGUAGGUUGUUAAAGCCAUUUGGAGCAUGAUUUGGCUAUAGAGAGAAGCUAUGCAUUCCACAUACCCCUAGACUAUGAUUCUACUCCUGGGUUUAUACACCUUUCAUCUGUGUAUACAAGUCCAAGAGGGUUCAUCAUAGCAUCAUUUGUAAUGAAAAAUAAUCUGGAAAUAAACCUAAAACAGAA